rnacentral:lncRNA from 1 species
GGCGGCCCCUGCCCCGCCUGUCGCCCUGACCUUCGCCUCCGCAGGAGCCCGGCACUCGAGCGUCGCCCCGUCCCUCCCUCCCAGGCACCGCCCCCUGCCGGACCCCCUCCCCGCUCAGGUCCCUUCAGACCCCGGUUCCCGCCCGCCGCGGCCGCGCGCCCGGGCCACAGUGCCCUCGCGCCUCACUCACCGAAAACCACGGAACCCCUCAAACUCCACCGGCUUCUGGCCUCAGUCCGCGCACCGCGUCCGCCGGGAUUCUACACGUCCCGUCCACAGGCUGCGUCAUCCAAUCAGAAGCCAGAAGCCGGUAUGUGGGCGGGAGCGCAGUGCGUGCGCGAGCGCGUGCGCGUUGGGAGUGGCGGCCCUGAACGGGUCUCGGAUUGGCUGGGCGCCGCGGGUGGGUGGGGCUCUGCGUCGGGGCUCCCGCAUUCGGAUCGUGCGGGACGUGAGAGUAGCCCAGCCGGGUUCGCUUCAGGCCUUCAGGGCGGGCAGCACUCACACCCUAACCCUACUGCCCUUGAGCCUAGCACUGCACCAUGAGUCAGUCCCAGUGUCACACACCCUAGACGCAGCCACCUCUGGAAGGGCCCCACCUGUGGCCACACGGAGGCUUUGGGGCACAUCUGGACACAGCCACAACAGAGAAAACCAGAAAAGAGACUGUCUGCCUGGCUCAAGCAUAUCAACGAUUAAGUACAAGCCACCAACAUCCUUCUGCUUUUUGAUGCUUAGAAGAGUUUUUUAAGGAUUGGAAUGAAUAUAUCCAGUGUUUCCCCACCAGAAGCACACACAGCUGAGCAAACGUGCUGAACACCAGCAUGAGCUCUAGGAGUACUGUUACACACUUGACACACACCCUUCACGUAAGUGCUGCUGUGUCAAGUGGUAUGAUCCCCACCCAGCACAGGCACGGGUUCAGCAUGGCUAAGGGACCCGCUGGGGCUUCCACAGAGGCAGCUGUUGGCCUUGAGAUCCUCGUAACUCAUUCUGGUACCUUGUACUAGAGUGCUGGGAUUACAGGCAUGCAGCACCCUGCCUGGUUACAACGUGUUUAUUAAUCUUCCAUUUCCUGUCAGAAUCUUUAUCAACCACAACUUGUUUAGAAAUAUGGAGUCCAGGGCCAGGGAUGUAGCUCAGUGGCACCGCACCUGCCUGGCAAACACAAGGUCCUGAGUUUGAUCCCCGGUACCAAAUAAAUAAAAAUAAAUACAAAGUCCACCAAAAAAUGUAUACACACCUCAGGAAAAGGAAAACUAUGAAGUUUUUUCAGCA